rnacentral:rRNA from 1 species
CCUACGGGUGGCAGCAGUGAGGAAUAUUGGUCAAUGGGCGGAAGCCUGAACCAGCCAAGUAGCGUGCGGGAUGAAGGCCCUACGGGUCGUAAACCGCUUUUGCACGGGGAUAACACCCUCCACUUGUGGAGGUCUGCAGGUACCGUGCGAAUAAGGGCCGGCUAAUUCCGUGCCCGCAGCCGCGGUAAGACGGAAGGCACGAGCGUUAUCCGGAUUCAUUGGGCUUAGAGCGAGCGUAGGCGGGCGAUAAAGUCAGCUCGAAAAUCGAGAGGCUCAACCGCGCCCCGCAGUUGAACCGGGACGCCUUGAGUGCACAACAGGCAGGCGGAAUUCGUGGUGUAGCGGUGAAAUGCAUAGAUAUCACGAGGAACCCCGAUUGCGAAGGCAGCCUGCCGGGGUGCGACUGACGCUGAGGCUCGAAGGUGCGGGUAUCAAACAGGAUUAGAUACCCUUGUAGUC